GCCGCGCUCGACACUCACCCACUCGUAAAUACUUGUAAAUAAAUUAUCUGGCCAGCGACCAAUAUGCGUACAUAUACCGACGGGCGUUAAUAUAACCUGAAAAACGAGCACAUCAGCACGCUGCGCUGGCACUUUUUCUGCCCCCACUUUAUAUUCGCCAUUACAACACGAAGCGGUGGCGCAAAGCAGAACGCGAGGGAACCGAGUGGCAACCCUCAAGCGGCAGCAGCAGCAACAACAACCAAGGAAAAUAAGAAAAAGAGGACGAGCAUACAAAGCGCAAAAUAACACACGAAAAAAACGCACAAAACGCAAAAGAGAGUAAGAGAGGGGGAAAAGGAAGGCAACACAAACACCCAUACAACUCAUGUAUACAGCUGCGGUUAAGAUAUCCAAGUGACCCAACAUUUUGCCCCAUGCUGUCUGCUUGUGUUUGUGGAUAAAAUUCAUGUGAAGUUGCGGAUGAAGCUGGCAAUGCGGUGGAGGCCGAAAUACACACACGAACACGAGAAAAGCAGGCCCAGGGCAGCAGCAACAACAACUAUGACAAGCAAGCAAAACACAGAAAAAAAAACACAGUACAGUGGGGCCCAGAAGAGCCAUGUGUUUAGGUUUCCCACAGAAAGUUACAUAUAUCCCAUGGUACGUUCUCCUUGCAAAUGUCGUGUUCCUUCGCCGCCGCUGCCUCGCCGGUCUUUAUUCGAUUAUUCCUAAAUUUUCGGUCCGAAUGGCUUUUGUUGCUGCCAACCACUGUGCCCGUGUGUGUACAUUUAUGUACAUGGUGUGUUAUUCACAAUUUCCGAGUAAUACUCGUUUUUAUUUUCCUCUUUUUCCAUUGCAACGUAUUUCUGGCUGGGCCGCUGCUCUUUUUUCAUCGCCUGCGCUUUGAACGCACGUUCGUUGUGGGGGGAAAAAGAAAUAAAUAAAAGAUGGUGACGAAUCGUU